rnacentral:rRNA from 1 species
GACGAACGCUGGCGGCGUGCUUAACACAUGCAAGUCGAACGGAAAGGCCCUGCUUUCGUGGUGUGCUCGAGUGGCGAACGGGUGAGUAACACGUGAGUAACCUGCCCUUGACUUUGGGAUAACUUCAGGAAACUGGGGCUAAUACCGUAUAGGAGCUCCUGCUGCAGUGUGGGGGUUGGAAAGUUUCGGCGGUUGGGGAUGGACUCGCGGCUUAUCAGCUUGUUGGUGGGGUAGUGGCUUACCAAGGCUUUGACGGGUAGCCGGCCUGAGAGGGUGACCGGCCACAUUGGGACUAAGAUACGGCCCAGACUCCUACGGGAGGCAGUAGUGGGGAAUAUUGCACAGUGGGAGGAAGCCUGAUGCGGCGACGCCGCGUGCGGGAUGACGGCCUUCGGGUAGUAAACCGCAUUCGCCUGUGACGAAGCGUGAGUGACGGUAAUGGGUGAAGAAGCACCGGCUAACUACGUG